CGAGGGGCAGCAUUUUAGUUUGCUUGCAACUAAAGAUGGCGACCGGCGCACGGGUGAGUAACACGUAUCCAACCUGCCGAUAACUCGGGGAUAGCCUUUCGAAAGAAAGAUUAAUAUCCGAUAGUAUAUUAAAACCGCAUGGUUUUACUAUUAAAGAAUUUCGGUUAUCGAUGGGGAUGCGUUCCAUUAGUUUGUUGGCGGGGUAACGGCCCACCAAGACUACGAUGGAUAGGGGUUCUGAGAGGAAGGUCCCCCACAUUGGAACUGAGACACGGUCCAAACUCCUACGGGAGGCAGCAGUGAGGAAUAUUGGUCAAUGGACGAGAGUCUGAACCAGCCAAGUAGCGUGAAGGAUGACUGCCCUAUGGGUUGUAAACUUCUUUUAUAUGGGAAUAAAGUAUUCCACGUGUGGAAUUUUGUAUGUACCAUAUGAAUAAGGAUCGGCUAACUCCGUGCCAGCAGCCGCGGUAAUACGGAGGAUCCGAGCGUUAUCCGGAUUUAUUGGGUUUAAAGGGAGCGUAGGUGGAUUGUUAAGUCAGUUGUGAAAGUUUGCGGCUCAACCGUAAAAUUGCAGUUGAAACUGGCAGUCUUGAGUACAGUAGAGGUGGGCGGAAUUCGUGGUGUAGCGGUGAAAUGCUUAGAUAUCACGGAGAACUCCGAUUGCGAAGGCAGCUCACUAGACUGCAACUGACACUGAUGCUCGAAAGUGUGGGUAUCAAACAGGAUUAGAUACCCUGGUAGUCCACACAGUAAACGAUGAAUACUCGCUGUUUGCGAUAUACAGUAAGCGGCCAAGCGAAAGCAUU
rnacentral:rRNA from 1 species